rnacentral:rRNA from 1 species
AAUCCUACGGGAGGCAGCAGUGGGGAAUAUUGCGCAAUGGGGGCAACCCUGACGCAGCAACGCCGCGUGCAGGAAGAAGGUCUUCGGAUUGUAAACUGUUGUCGCAAGGGAAGAAGACAGUGACGGUACCUUGUGAGAAAGUCACGGCUAACUACGUGCCAGCAGCCGCGGUAAUACGUAGGUGACAAGCGUUGUCCGGAUUUACUGGGUGUAAAGGGUGCGUAGGCGGCUUGGCAAGUCAGUAGUGAAAUCCAUGGGCUUAACCCAUGAACUGCUAUUGAAACUGUCGCGCUUGAGUGAAGUAG